rnacentral:rRNA from 1 species
GACGUAGGGCGCGAGCGUUGUCCGGAUUUAUUGGGCGUAAAGAGCUCGUAGGCGGCUUGUCGCGUCGUCCGUGAAAACCCAUGGCUCAACUGUGGGCUUGCGGUCGAUACGGGCAGGCUGGAGUUCGGUAGGGGGAGACGUAGGUGAAUUCCUGGUGUAGCGGUAGAAAUGCGCAGAUAUCAGGAGGAACACCGAUUGCGAAGGCAGCUCGCUGGGACGUUACUGACGCUGAGACGCGAAAGCGUGGGGAGCAAACAGG